rnacentral:rRNA from 1 species
GUGGGCGCUGGAGAACUGAGGGGGGCUGCUCCUAGUACGAGAGGACCGGAGGGGACGCAUCACUGGUGUUCGGGUUGUCAUGCCAAUGGCACUGCCCGGUAGCUAAAUGCGGAAGAGAUAAGUGCUGAAAGCAUCUAAGCAACGAAACUUGCCCCGAGAUGAGUUCUCCCUGACUCCUUGAGAGUCCUGAAGGAACGUUGAAGACGACGACGUUGAUAGGCCGGGUGUGUAAGCGCAGCGAUGCGUUGAGCUAACCGGUACUAAUGAACCGUGAGGCUUAACCUUACAACGCCGAAG